UAGCCAUUUCCAGGAUAUCCUCCACAGGUGAAUCCAGAAAAUGUAUCCCCUCCCCCUCCAGAAAAUCCAGGAAAUGCUACCGCACUUCCUCCGGGAAAUCCAGGAAAUGAAACUCAAUCUUCCCAGAUAGAACCUACCCCUCAACCCUAAGAAGCAUCACAAAGCUGAACAUCUCAUCCAGGAAAACACAGAUUUGCAACCUGAAGAUGCUGAAAAACAAUGACAACACCAGCUUCUAUGAUUUCCAGCCAGACAUCACACAUUUUUCUUACUAAUCUAAACAAUGGAGAGUCUGAUGUAGUUCUUAUUUUGAUUUUGGGUGCCUUUACUGAAUCUUAUGGUAGAGGAUUCCAGGGAGAUAUAAAUUUUGAAGAAAUAAAAAUAAAAAUACA